GGUGCUCACAUGUCCUCCUCCA
rnacentral:miRNA from 1 species